UUAAUGGAGUUUUUAAACUCCACAAAUAGAGUCGAGGUAAUGAUA
rfam:Gossypium hirsutum cultivar TM-1 unplaced genomic scaffold scaffold1193.1, whole genome shotgun sequence